AUUCGUCCAGCAGCGCGGUAUACGUAGUGGCAAGCGUGUCCGGAUUUAUGGGCGUAAGCGAGCGCAGGCGGUUUUUUAAGUCUGAUGUGAAAGCCUUCGGCUCAACCGAAGAAGUGCAUCGGAAACUGGGAAACUUGAGUGCAGAAGAGGACAGUGGAACUCCAUGUGUAGCGGUGAAAUGCGUAGAUAUAUGGAAGAACACCAGUGGCGAAGGCGGCUGUCUGGUCUGUAACUGACGCUGAGGCUCGAAAGUAUGGGUAGCAAACAGGAUUAGAUACCCUGGUAGUCCAUACCGUAAACGAUGAAUGCUAAGUGUUGGAGGGUUUCCGCCCUUCAGUGCUGCAGCUAACGCAUUAAGCAUUCCGCCUGGGGAGUACGGCCGCAAGGCUGAAACUCAAAGGAAUUGACGGGGGCCCGCACAAGCGGUGGAGCAUGUGGUUUAAUUCGAAGCUACGCGAAGAACCUUACCAGGUCUUGACAUACUAUGCAAAUCUAAGAGAUUAGACGUUCCCUUCGGGGACAUGGAUACAGGUGGUGCAUGGUUGUCGUCAGCUCGUGUCGUGAGAUGUUGGGUUAAGUCCCGCAACGAGCGCAACCCUUAUUAUCAGUUGCCAGCAUUAAGUUGGGCACUCUGGUGAGACUGCCGGUGACAAACCGGAGGAAGGUGGGGAUGACGUCAAAUCAUCAUGCCCCUUAUGACCUGGGCUACACACGUGCUACAAUGGAUGGUACAACGAGUUGCGAACUCGCGAGAGUAAGCUAAUCUCUUAAAGCCAUUCUCAGUUCGGAUUGUAGGCUGCAACUCGCCUACAUGAAGUCGGAAUCGCUAGUAAUCGCGGAUCAGCAUGCCGCGGUGAAUACGUUCCCGGGCCUUGUACACACCGCCCGUCACACCAUGAGAGUUUGUAACACCCAAAGUCGGUGGGGUAACCUUUAGAACAGCCGCCAAGU
rnacentral:rRNA from 2 species